rnacentral:lncRNA from 13 species
AUGGUUACAUCUGUUCUGUGGUUGUGGCCGGUUGAACGCACUUCCCCUAUUCUCUAUGACGGCGGCAGCUUAUGGAGAAAUGAAGUUCUCAUUACAACAGCGCUGGUGGGCUUCCCUGCAUGCAGCCACCUGACAGAAUACUCAUUACAACAGAGCUGGUGGGCUUCCCUGCAGUCAGCAUGCAGCCACCUGACAGAAUACUCAUUACAACAGAGCUGGUGGGCUUCCCUGCAGUCAGCAUGCAGCCACCUGACAGAAUACUCAUUACAACAGAGCUGGUGGGCUUCCCUGCAGCCACCUGACAGAAUACUCAUUACAACAGCGCUGGUGGGCUUCCCUGCAGUCAGCAUGCAGCCACCUGACAGAAUACUCAUUACAACAGAGCUGGUGGGCUUCCCUGCAGUCAGCCACCUGACAGAAUACUCAUUACAACAGAGCUGGUGGGCUUCCCUGCAGUCAGCAUGCAGCUCCCUCAACUUGAGACAUCUGUGGCAUGUGUUGUGACAGAACUGUACAUUUUAAAGUGGCCUUUUAUUGUCCCCAGAACAAGGUGCACCUGUGUAAUGAGUAUUCUGUUUAACCAGAUUCUUGAUAUGCCACACCGGUUAGGUGGCUGGAUUAUUUUAGCCAAGGCAAAAUGCUCACUAACGGGGAUUUUAAAUUUGUGCACAAUUUAAGUUAAGCUUUUUGUACGGAACAUUUCUGUGAUUUUUAUUUUAUUUUCAUGAAACACGGAACCAACACUUUACAUGUGUUUAUAUUUUUGUUCAUUGUAUGUUCCCGUGAGGCAACUUCUGGUUUGGAGUAGCUCAAGCUGGAAAUGGGGAUGAUUCUCAAUCACAUCUCAAGUUACAUUUCUAUCUACAGCUCUCCAGUCUUCCCCCACUGAUGAAAGCCUCCAUACUGCUGCACAGAAUACUACCGCUGCUUUUGAAUUCAACUACAUUUGGUAACUAAGUACAUAACAUAACUGGGUUGUGUUCAUUAGGACACGAAAUGGGAUAGGGUUUUGCAACACACAAUGAAAACUAGUCCAGGUAGUCCUUCCCUGUUUCAGUCCGUUUGGUGCCUAAUGAACACGACCNNNNNNNNNNAGGUGGCUGGAUUAUUUUAGCCAAGGCAAAAUGCUCACUAACGGGGAUUUUAAAUUUGUGCACAAUUUAAGUUAAGCUUUUUGUACGGAACAUUUCUGUGAUUUUUAUUUUAUUUUCAUGAAACACGGAACCAACACUUUACAUGUGUUUAUAUUUUUGUUCAUUGUAUGUUCCCGUGAGGCAACUUCUGGUUUGGAGUAGCUCAAGCUGGAAAUGGGGAUGAUUCUCAAUCACAUCUCAAGUUACAUUUCUAUCUACAGCUCUCCAGUCUUCCCCCACUGAUGAAAGCCUCCAUACUGCUGCACAGAAUACUACCGCUGCUUUUGAAUUCAACUACAUUUGGUAACUAAGUACAUAACAUAACUGGGUUGUGUUCAUUAGGACACGAAAUGGGAUAGGGUUUUGCAACACACAAUGAAAACUAGUCCAGGUAGUCCUUCCCUGUUUCAGUCCGUUUGGUGCCUAAUGAACACGACCCCUGGAGGUACAACAUAAACAACUUUCACACAUUCUAGUUCACAAUCUGAGGUGUUUUUAUUCUGUUGCAAACUGAAUGUGUUGCAACCAAAAAUAGUUUCUAUUGGACAAAUUCCGGUAAGUCCCUCCCCUUUUAAUUUGCUUCCAUUUUAAGAAGCCUUUUGCAACAGAACUGUUCUUUCCAACUCUUUGGCUACAUGUUGCUCUUUGAUAAAGCAGUAUAUCAUAUAUACUUCAUAAUAUCUAAAGCGAAGACUGUACAGUGCAAGAGUAUAUUACAAAUCACAAUUCACACGUAUAAAAAGAGGCCUGGUCGUCCGUCUGCAGGGUCCUCAGUGCUGCAUCAGUUCUGUUCAUGUCGCAGGGAAACGAAACACAUCAUUCAAUAACUAGCUGAAGCAUGUCUGUUCUUACUGGUUGAGUCCCAAAAGGUACCCUAUUCACUAUGUAGUGUACUACUUUAGACCAGAGCCCUUUGGGUCCAGGAGCCGAUGUCCCCAAAAAAACAUCUUAAGGUUAAGUUAAUCGGAAACUGGAUCCUGGUUAAUAGUAUAGUAUAGACUGCCUCAAGGCACACCUGUUAAUUGAAAUGCAUUCCAGGUGACUUCCUCAUGAAGCUGGUUGAGAGAAUGCCUAGCGUGUGCAAAGCUGUCAUCAAGGCAAGGGGUGGCUACUUUGAAGAAUGUACAUGAUCCCAUAUGUGUUAUUCCAUAGUUUUGACGUCUUCACUAUUAUUCCACAAUGACGAAAAUAGUACAAAUAAAGAAAACACUCUUGAAUGAGUAGGUGUGUCCAAAACGUCUGACUGGUGCUAUAUAUAUAUAUUAUAUAUAUAUAUAUAUAUACCCAUAUAUAUAUAUAUAUAUACCCAUAUAUAUAUAUAUAUACCCAUAUAUAUAUCUAUACCCAUAUAUAUCUAUAACUAUAUAAUAGACCCCUUCUACAACUGUCACUCAAACAUUCUGAAUUCCAAAUCAGGUACUGUAGCCCCUCCCUCCUGGCCACUACUGUAGAUCUGAGAGGAUCUGAUUGGUGGAAGCAUUAGGGUAACAGUUCCACCCAGCCAAUCAUAAAAAGGCCAGAUGAAAGCGUCACCGUGAUGCUUAUAUGAGAUCCAUAGGAGUGUCUAGGACAGGGGUGUCAAACUCAUUCUCUGGAGGGCCUCGUUGUCUGCUGGUUUUAGGUUUNNNNNNNNNNGUCAGACGUUUACAUACACUCAAUUAGUAUUUGGUAGCAUUGCGUUUAAAUUGUUCAACUUGGGUCAAACGUUUUGGGUAGCCUUCCACAAGCUUCCCACGGUAAGUUGGGUGAAUUUUGGCCCAUUCCUCCUGACAGAGCUGGUGUAACUGAGUCAGGUUUGAAGGCCUCCUUGCUCAGGGCUUUGUGAUGGCCACUCCAAUACCUUGACUUUAAUGUCCUUAAGCCAUUUUGCCACAACUUUGGAAGUAUGCUUGGGGUCAUUGUCCAUUUGGAAGACCCAUUUNNNNNNNNNNCUUCUCCUUCUGGAGACUAAAUGCUGGUUCUAAUACUGCAUAAAUGUACUGCAAAUACUAAAGUAAUAUCAUAGAAACAGUGGUGAGCCUGGUCAAGUACACUAUAAUACUUUUCUAUUGCUAUAUACUAUUAACAGUACAUAUUCUAAAUGUAACUUUUUUAUAUACAUACAGUUGAAGUCGGAAGUUUACAUACACCUUAGCCAAAUACAUUUAAACUCAGUUUGUCAUAAUUCCGGACAUUUAAUCCUUGUAAAAACUCCCUGUCUUAGGUCAAUUAGGAUCACCACUUUAUUUUAAUUAAGAAUGUGAAAUGUCAGAAUAAUAGUAGAGAAAAUUUAUUUAUUUCAGCUUUUAUUUCUUUCAUCACAUUCCCAGUGGGUCAGACGUUUACAUACACUCAAUUAGUAUUUGGUAGCAUUGCGUUUAAAUUGUUCAACUUGGGUCAAACGUUUUGGGUAGCCUUCCACAAGCUUCCCACGGUAAGUUGGGUGAAUUUUGGCCCAUUCCUCCUGACAGAGCUGGUGUAACUGAGUCAGGUUUGAAGGCCUCCUUGCUCAGGGCUUUGUGAUGGCCACUCCAAUACCUUGACUUUAAUGUCCUUAAGCCAUUUUGCCACAACUUUGGAAGUAUGCUUGGGGUCAUUGUCCAUUUGGAAGACCCAUUUGCGACCAAGCUUUAAAUUCCUGACUGAUGUCUUGAGAUGUUGCUUCAAUAUAUAUCAUUUUCCUGCCUCAUGAUACCAUCUCCUGCAGCAAAGCACCCCCACAACAUGAUUUCUGCCACCCCCGUGCUUCACGAUUGGGAUGGUGUUCUUCGGCUUGCAAGCCUCCCCCUUUUUCCUCCAAACAUAUCGAUGGUCAUUAUGGCCAAACAGUUUCAUCAUAGCAGAGGACAUUUCUCUAAAAGUCCGAUCUUUGUCCCCAUCCCAUCAUGUAGUUGCAAACCGUAGUCUGGCUUUUUAUUGCGGUUUUGGAGCAGUGGCUUCUUCCUUGCUGAGUGGCCUUUCAGGUUUUGUCGAUAUAGGACUCCUUUUACUGUGGAUAUAGAUACUUUUGUACCUGUUUCCUCCAGCAUCUUCACAAGGUCCUUUGCUGUUGCUCUGGGAUUGAUUUGCACUUUUCGCACCAAAGUACAUUCAUCUCUAGGAGACAGAACGCGCCUGUCCACAUACAUACUGUCUGUCCAUUGAUGCAACCGAAGAGCAAUGGUCAAGCAACAGGCCAAAAUGUAUAUUUUUUAAAACCGAAGAAAGCAAAACUGCUCAUAUCGGAAGAAGCCUACUGAGUCUCUGAGUUGCUUCUCUCACUCGAAGAUUCAUCAUAAAUCACCAUCAUCAGGUGACAUCAUAACUAUUAAGAACUAAGGAACUAAAUAAU